rnacentral:rRNA from 1 species
GACAGAGGGUGCGAACGUUGUUCGGAAUUACUGGGCGUAAAGCGCAUGUAGGCGGCAGCGCAAGUCGGGCGUGAAAUCCCACGGCUCAACCGUGGAAGUGCACUCGAAACUGCGCAGCUAGAGUCCUGGAGAGGAAGGUGGAAUGCUUGGUGUAGAGGUGAAAUUCGUAGAUAUCGGGAAGAAUACCUAUGGCGAAGGCAGCUCUCUGGGACGGUACUGACGCUGAGACGCGAAAGCGUGGGGAGCAAACAGG